AAACAUUCCUUGCUGAUGCUGUUGUUGCAAGGUUUUGAUCUCAUGCUUUUGGCACUUUUUAGCGGGCAACUAGCAUCACUUAGGCACCUUUUAGGAUAUACUCACAUUUAGCAUGUUGAUGAUUCCAGUUGCAUUUAGAUCUUGUUGACAUGAUCUUAUAUUGGUUGGGUAUCCGGUUUGGUGUGGCCUUAUAUAUUGUCUAGGUCUCUG
rnacentral:misc_RNA from 1 species